GACGUAGGGCGCGAGCGUUGUCCGGAUUUAUUGGGCGUAAAGAGCUCGUAGGCGGCUUGUCGCGUCGUCCGUGAAAAACCUGCAGCUCAAACUGCAGGCUUGCGGUCGAUACGGGCAGGCUAGAGUUCGGUAGGGGGAGACUGGAAUUCCUGGUGUAGCGGUGAAAAUGCGCAGAUAUCAGGAGGGAACACCCGGUGGGCGAAAGGGCGGGGUCUCUGGGGCCCGAUACUGACGCUGAGGAGCGAAAGCGUGGGGGAGCGAACAGG
rnacentral:rRNA from 1 species